rnacentral:tRNA from 1 species
GGGCCCUUAGCUCAGCUGGUUAGAGCGGUCGGCUCAUAACCGAUUGGUCGUAGGUUCGAAUCCUGCAGGGCCCACCA